rnacentral:rRNA from 1 species
GAUUAGUGGCGAACGGGUGAGUAACACGUGAGUAACCUGCCCUUAACUCUGGGAUAAGCCUGGGAAACUAGGUCUAAUACCGGAUAGGAGCGCCUACCGCAUGGUGGGUGUUGGAAAGAUUUAUCGGUUUUGGAUGGACUCGCGGCCUAUCAGCUUGUUGGUGAGGUAAUGGCUCACCAAGGCGACGACGGGUAGCCGGCCUGAGAGGGUGACCGGCCACACUGGGACUGAGACACGGCCCAGACUCCUACGGGAGGCAGCAGUGGGGAAUAUUGCACAAUGGGCGAAAGCCUGAUGCAGCGACGCCGCGUGAGGGAUGACGGCCUUCGGGUUGUAAACCUCUUUCAGUAGGGAAGAAGCGAAAGUGACGGUACCUGCAGAAGAAGCACCGGCUAACUACGUGCCAGCAGCCGCGGUAAUACGUAGGGUGCGAGCGUUAUCCGGAAUUAUUGGGCGUAAAGAGCUCGUAGGCGGUUUGUCGCGUCUGUCGUGAAAGUCCGGGGCUUAACCCCGGAUCUGCGGUGGGUACGGGCAGACUAGAGUGCAGUAGGGGAGACUGGAAUUCCUGGUGUAGCGGUGGAAUGCGCAGAUAUCAGGAGGAACACCGAUGGCGAAGGCAGGUCUCUGGGCUGUAACUGACGCUGAGGAGCGAAAGCAUGGGGGAGCGAACAGGAUUAGAUACCCUGGUAGUCCAUGCCGUAAACGUUGGGCACUAGGUGUGGGGACCAUUCCACGGUUUCCGCGCCGCAGCUAACGCAUUAAGUGCCCCGCCUGGGGAGUACGGCCGCAAGGCUA